CCAGGAUUUCGCCGCAGGGUAUUCCAUGUAGAAAAAAAUACAAUGCAAAUAUAUAAGUGCUAGCUUCCUGCCACAAUAAAAUAUGCUAGUGCUAGCACACGUAUUUUCCAUGUACAUUGCAAUUUAGAAACAAAAUGUCAAAAGAAAUUAUUUAUAGAAUUUUUAUGAUGGCACUAAAUAAAGUAGCACACAGUAGCAUAUACAAAUAAAUUUGUUUAAAUUGCAGUAAGCACAUAGGCACUUUGCAUAGCGCUUCCCUAUAAAUUUCAUCAAUUAGAUUGUGAUUUAGUUUAAGG
rnacentral:lncRNA from 1 species